CAUGAAUUUCUGGAGAAAGACUUGAUCGUGAAAUGCCGAAUUUUCGGCAUGGGUUCGCAGAGCCAGUCAGACGCAAGUCAGCUCAAUUCUAUUAUCAAAUCCUUUGGUGAGACUCCAGAUAGAACUGAAAAGCUAGGUUAUUUGAAAAACCUCACAAGUCAAGCUCUCCCC